rnacentral:lncRNA from 1 species
CGGGGGGCGUCCUGGCGCUGCUUCUUACGACAGCAGGAAACUGGACUCGGGGCCCGCACGCAGUCCCGGCUCGAAGCGCCCCAUGCGCCCCGCGGGACCCGCAGGCAGGGCUGGCGGCUCCCUACGGCUGCUACCCUCGCGCCCUCUUCGCGCCUCCCUCCCUGCGGCCCGCCUCGCAGUGCACUCGCGCCGGCCUCGGCUCGCUGCAGCCGCCUCCGGGUGGGCGGAGGGAGCAGCGGCGCCUGGGCGGCGCCCCUACCGGGCUCGUGCCCCCACCGGCCUGCGGGAGACCAAGCUUUGGGGUUCCCGCAGAGGCCGGGAAGCGGCGGGCGGCCGUGGACCAAGGCUGGGACGGCAGCGCCACCCUCUGGGCCAGGGACCCCGGGACGUCUAAGGCUCUGGGAACACCUUCUUGCCUUCCUGUAAGAUUUGUCAGCCUGACUAGUGAAAGUUGCCCCACCUUGAUUCUAGGCCAGUGUUGGAGCAGUAAUUAAUGAAGUUGUAUUGCAAUAAUGCAGAUUUACAGAGUGACUGGCAGAUUCAGCUUCAGAAGAGUUGUCUUGGGUUGUUUUUACCGUAGACACAAAUGCAGGCUCCUGAUGUUUGGUAUGAUCAAUAUCAAACUGCCUGACAAACAUCAAAAACGGUGGACUUGUCUCUAAGGACGAAUGCUCAGGGGAGGGGCAGUAUUAAUUAAGCAACCGUGGCUUUGGCUUGAAGGGUAGUCUGUAGUGCAGAGGAUACAGUUAGUUUUUACAGUUGACCCCUAGUAUACAGAAGAACCACGUACAUCCAAGGUUUCUGGACAGGGGCUAAGACAAUAGUCGUUUGUUCACUUAUUUUGGGGGAUUUCGAACCAAACAUACUCUGUACCUGCCUUUUUACUAUAUAUCCCCCGUCGGUGUGGUGGGAGACUAAGCCUAUGUCCCACAGAGGAAAUGAAUGGAGACUUUACUAGUUUCAGACCGAGUCAACAGUCAACACGAAAAUGUAAGAGGAAAAAAAAAACUGACCCCGGAAAUUAAUUGUCUGGGUUAGCCAUCCUGACAUAUCCUUAUGUAUUGCAAAGACAUGCUGUCUCAGUUAAUUAAUCUCAAAAACAGAAGAACUAAUUCUUGCCCAGAAAUCUCUCAGAGUUGCUGUGAAGAUCAAGCAAGAUUAUGUAUGGGGACAGCACCCUAAAUUGUAAAGUGCUUUGCCAAGGUCAGAUGUCAUUAUUGGAGUGACUAAAUAAAUUGGGCCAUUACGAAUAUCACCCUUUGUCUCGUCUUGUGAAGAGACAAAGUAAACAGAUUGCUGUUAGCAGAGAGUUAAAUAAGGUUGUCAUAGGAUUUGAAAUGAAAGUAAUGAUACACUUUUCCCUUAAGAUAGCCUUCUACCCAUCGCCUGUCACCCAGUCUAGAACUGUGAUUUCUUAAACCCUAGCUCCGUCUAGUGGUUCUUUGUUCUAUUACAAAUGAGAUAACACAGUGGUUGAAGAGAACAUGACUCUCAAAUGCAUUUGGUGCUGAGCUGAGCCAGUUUGGUGCCUAUCGACUUCAUUUAAAUAAGUCCAUUUAAAUAAGGUUUUUAAAGUUGUGUUAUUGCACAAACAUGCCAAGGGAAGAUUUUUCAUGACAAUAUUAAAAACCCAUCAAGAAACUUCAUAAUCCUGCUUGUGAAAGGAAGAUAAAGAAAAUAAUGCAGAGGGGAAAACUAUCAUAGAGUUAAUAAAAUUUGUAAGGUUUUAAUGAGCUCUCAUGUUCUAUGGCUUAGAUAAAAAAGGAAACAGAUGAUAUUAGUUUGAGAUGAGAGAUGUUAAAGCCUUGGUGGGCUACCUGAUAAGAAAAAGAAAUGAGAUGUCUUCCAUUUAAAAUGUACUACUGAAAUGGAUCUCAACAUGGACUGUGCGUGCGUGCGUGUGUGUGUGCGUGCAUGUGUGUGCGCGUGCGUGUGUGUGUGUGUAUUGGCACCUUUUUGAAUACUACAAUUUUUGGUGGCACACUUGAAGAAAUUAAAAGACCUAAAACAAAGUAGUGCUACUACAAAGUGGUCCUUUUUUUAAAGUUUUAAACCUCCAGAUUGUGUGCCAUAACACGAUCACAUUAUUUCAUAUCUUUUUGCUUAAAUAAGACUGGAUGCUUAUAAAAGCACUGUUAUACUGUGUUAUGGCACUUUAAGUACUUGCUUAGAAAUGAUCCUUUCUUCAUUGUGUGCUUCGUAAGAGUGUUUCUGGUCAGUCACCUUUCCUUUCAAGGUCUUCCUUAUUCAAACUAACUAAGGUGGCUUUUAGGUCAAGAUCACAGUCAUUACCUGGGGAUGCAAGAGGAAGAUAAUUACUACGUGAACAGCCAAUGAACUGUUUUUGCCAUUUAAAAAAAAAAAAAAAGCUGGAAGUGUUCAUGAUUUUUAAAUAAAAUAAAUAUUUAAGAGUUAAAUUGUUCAAAAGUCAGCAAUCUUUCAUCACAAUGUGAGUGUCUCACAGUGUCUGUGGAGGUACAUCCAAUUUUUUCCCCCAUUCCCUUGGUUCACUCACAACACAUCUGACUGUAGGAAUAGAAUCACAUUCUCCCCUGUCCACAGCCACAUUCUCAAUAUUCCAGUAAACACUCCCUCUUUCUUGGUGCUAGUUGACAGGUUACUGUGCUUCUUACCUUUUACUUGCCACCUUCUGUUCCCUCCUUAACAUUGAGUUCCAGCACCUGCUCAACUUAAAAGUUCUGUCU